rnacentral:rRNA from 1 species
CCUACGGGUGGCAGCAGUGGGGAAUAUUGGACAAUGGGGGGAACCCUGAUCCAGCGACGCCGCGUGAGUGAAGAAGUAUUUCGGUAUGUAAAGCUCUAUCAGCAGGGAAGAAAGAAAUGACGGUACCUGACUAAGAAGCCCCGGCUAACUACGUGCCAGCAGCCGCGGUAAUACGUAGGGGGCAAGCGUUAUCCGGAUUUACUGGGUGUCAAGGGAGCGUAGACGGCGAUGCAAGUCUGAAGUGAAAGGCGGGGGCACAACCCCCGGACUGCUUUGGAAACUGUAUGGCUGGAGUGCAGGAGAGGUAAGUGGAAUUCCUAGUGUAGCGGUGAAAUGCGUAGAUAUUAGGAGGAACACCAGUGGCGAAGGCAGCUUACUAAACUGCCACUGACAUUGAUGCUCGAAAGUGUGGGUAUCAAACAGGAUUAGAUACCCCAGUAGUC